CCUACGGGAGGCAGCAGUGAGGAAUAUUGGUCAAUGGACGAGAGUCUGAACCAGCCAAGUAGCGUGAAGGAUGACUGCCCUAUGGGUUGUAAACUUCUUUUAUAUGGGAAUAAAAUGUUCCACGUGUGGGAUUUUGUAUGUACCAUAUGAAUAAGGAUCGGCUAACUCCGUGCCAGCAGCCGCGGUAAUACGGAGGAUCCGAGCGUUAUCCGGAUGUAUUGGGUUUAAAGGGAGCGUAGGUGGAUUGUUAAGUCAGUUGUGAAAGUUUGCGGCUCAACCGUAAAAUUGCAGUUGAAACUGGCAGUCUUGAGUACAGUAGAGGUAGGCGGAAUUCGUGGUGUAGCGGUGAAAUGCUUAGAUAUCACGAAGAACUCCGAUUGCGAAGGCAGCUCACUGGACUGCAACUGACACUGAGGCUCGAAAGUGUGGGUAUCAAACAGGAUUAGAUACCCCUGUAGUC
rnacentral:rRNA from 1 species